GUGAGGAAUAUUGGUCAAUGGGCGAGAGCCUGAACCAGCCAAGUCGCGUGAAGGAAGAAGGAUCUAUGGUUCGUAAACUUCUUUUGCAGGGGAAUAAAGUGCGGGACGUGUCCUGUUUUGUAUGUACCCUGAGAAUAAGGAUCGGCUAACUCCGUGCCAGCAGCCGCGGUAAUACGGAGGAUCCGAGCGUUAUCCGGAGUUAUUGGGUUUAAAGGGUGCGUAGGUGGUUUGAUAAGUCAGCGGUGAAAGUUUGCAGCUUAACUGUAAAAAUGCCGUUGAAACUGUCGAGCUUGAGUGUAAAUGAGGUAGGCGGAAUGCGUGGUGUAGCGGUGAAAUGCAUAGAUAUCACGCAGAACUCCGAUUGCGAAGGCAGCUUACUAAGCUACAACUGACACUGAAGCACGAAAGCGUGGGGAUCAAACAGGAUUAGAAACCCCUGUAGUCC
rnacentral:rRNA from 1 species